GCUAUACAAGAGCAUAAUUUUUGUGUACUAUUUAAGUUGACAUAUUCAAAUUAGACAAGAAUCUCAAGAUCAUCACCUUAAUUUCACACACACU